rnacentral:lncRNA from 1 species
UUCUAGAGAAAAAAAUGGAUAAGUACUUUAUAAGAGCCCCUGAAAUCCAAACCCAGAUUACUUGUCUUUAUGUCACAAGGAAGACUUGGAAACUGUGGGUGCAGUUGUCUAACACAGUGUGGACAGAUCUUUCUGAUAUCUAGCAGCCUGCAGACAGUUGAUUUGGUCAGAUUCCUAAUUUUAAUCUUUUAUGUAACUAAUGUUGAAUUACAAUAAUACAUAAGAACUAAACAAGUUUAAAAUACUAUUUUGUAUUCCUUUCCUUUGGCAUGCUGCUACUUGUGAAAUCAAAAUCUCAAAUGCAGAAGAAUCUUACUAAAAAUAAUCUGCAGCUCUGUUGCAGUGUAAGCAGAGCCAGAGAAGUGUUAAAAAUGUUUUACCUUGCAUUGCAGAGCAGUUCUGACAUGUCAUGAAACAACCAAGCAGUUCACAUUUCAACUACACUAAAGCUACGGUGUAACCCACCAGAUUUUUGCAUGCAAUUUUGCUUCCCUGCCCCUUUUCUCAGCACUGUCUUAACAGAAGAAAUAGAAAAGGAAAUCAGUUUAGAUACGUACCCUGGGUGAACCUAACAGGAUGCAAGAGGCCAUCUGAACUGCACUUUUCAAACCCACAGAAACCCCUCCUCUGUCAUGUCCCAAAAACAAAGCCGCCUCCAGUCAUGUUGAUAAGAUGGAUCUUGUUGUACAGCCUUCUAGUAAUGCUGGCUCAGAGCAACAAUCAAGAGUCCGGAGAGUCUGCAAACACCACCACGCUUUCAUCAGAAUUUUUAGAUGCCACUACUAAGUCAAAAGAACAUGGAAAAAACAAGACAUUGCACAUUAUUUAUGCUUCAGUAUCCGUGGGUCUAUGUUGUCCAUUCAUCUUCAUAUGCGUGUUUUGGAGUCUAAGGAGGUACCAUGGAAAGCAUAAGAGAUCUCCAUCAACACCACAGAGACGAGAGAGCCGGAUCAGAAGUCCAUCAGCAAUUCCAUCCCAUGCAGCUGGGACAACUCCAGCCUCAGAUGAAAACUCCUCACUUUAUUGCUCCAUGUCUAGCCCACCUCAGCUCUUGCCUGGCAACAAGAUUUAUGACAAUGUUCCUCACUGUAAUGCUCAGGAGACAGCAUCUAACUCACCUUGUAAUGAUCCUUCCAUCCCAGCUUCACUUGAAAGCCAAGAUGUCCUCAUAUACGCCUCACUAAAUCAUUCUGCUUCUGCAAAAAGAUACCAGAGAAGGAAACUCUCUAUAGAAAAUGAAUUUAUAGAAUAUGCCUCUAUUAAGAUAAAUAAAUAAAUAUGGCAGACAUCUCCAGACAGCCAUUUUGCAUGCAGUCUCUGGUUUAUCUUCCCUCCAGGAUCUUUCCUUUCUCUCCUAGGGAAAACUUUCCUUUUGUUUAGAAGAACCUGUGGAUGCUCCCCCACUACACACAGGAAUUCAAAACACAGCCUGUGUCAUUCAG